ACUGCUCAGUAACACGUAGUCAACCUACCCUAUGGACGGGAAUAAUCUCGGGAAACUGAGGCUAAUUCCAGAUAGAACACUAUGCCUGGAACGGUUUGUGUUCCAAAUGAUUUAUCGCCAUAGGAUGGGACUGCGGCCUAUCAGUUUGUUGGUGAGGUAAUGGCCCACCAAGACUAUUACAGGUACGGGCUCUGAGAAGAGUAGCCCGGAGAUGGGUACUGAGACACGGACCCAGGCCCUAUGGGGCGCAGCAGGCGAGAAAACUUUGCAAUGUGCGAAAGCACGACAAGGUUAAUCCGAGUGGUUCCUGCUAAAGGAACCUUUUGACGGUCCUAAAAACACCGUUGAAUAAGGGGUGGGCAAGUUCUGGUGUCAGCCGCCGCGGUAAAACCAGCACCUCAAGUGGUCAGGAUGAUUAUUGGGCCUAAAGCAUCCGUAGCCGGCUCUGUUAGUUUUCGGUUAAAUCUGUACGCUCAACGUACAGGCUGCCGGGAAUACUACAGAGCUAGGGAGUGGGAGAGGUAGACGGUACUUGGUAGGAAGGGGUAAAAUCCUUUGAUCUAUUGAUGACCACCUGUGGCGAAGGCGGUCUACUAGAACACGUCCGACGGUGAGGGAUGAAAGCUGGGGGAGCAAACCGGAUUAGAUACCCGGGUAGUCCCAGCUGUAAACCAUGCAAACUCAAUGAUGCACUGGCUUGAAGCCAAUGCAGUGUUGCAGGGAAGCCGUUAAGUUUGCCGCCUGGGAAGUACGUACGCAAGUAUGAAACUUAAAGGAAUUGGCGGGGGAGCACCACAAGGGGUGGAGCCUGCGGUUC
rnacentral:rRNA from 1 species